rnacentral:rRNA from 1 species
UGGGGAAUAUUGGACAAUGGGCGAAAGCCUGAUCCAGCCAUGCCGCGUGUGUGAAGAAGGUCUUCGGAUUGUAAAGCACUUUAAGUUGGGAGGAAGGGCAGUAAGCGAAUACCUUGCUGUUUUGACGUUACCGACAGAAUAAGCACCGGCUAACUCUGUGCCAGCAGCCGCGGUAAUACAGAGGGUGCAAGCGUUAAUCGGAAUUACUGGGCGUAAAGCGCGCGUAGGUGGUUCGUUAAGUUGAAUGUGAAAGCCCCGGGCUCAACCUGGGAACUGCAUCCAAAACUGGCGAGCUAGAGUAGGGCAGAGGGGGGUGGAAUUUCCUGUGUAGCGGUGAAAUGCGUAGAUAUAGGAAGGAACACCAGUGGCGAAGGCGACCACCUGGGCUCAUACUGACACUGAGGUGAGAAAGCGUGGGGAGCAAACAGG